UGGGGAAUUUUUGGACAAUGGGCGAAAGCCUGAUCCAGCCAUGCCGCGUGCAGGAUGAAGGCCUUCGGGUUGUAAACUGCUUUUUGUACGGAACGAAAAGCCUCUUUCUAAUAAAGAGAGAUCAUGACGGUACCGUAAGAAUAAGCACCGGCUAACUACGUGCCAGCAGCCGCGGUAAUACGUAGGGUGCAAGCGUUAAUCGGAAUUACUGGGCGUAAAGCGUGCGCAGGCGGUUUUUGUAAGACAGAGGUGAAAAUCCCCGGGCUCAACCUGGGAACUGCCUUUGUGACUGCAAAGGCUGGAGUGCGGCAGAGGGGGGAUGGAAUUCCGCGUGUAGCAGUGAAAUGCGUAGAUAUGCGGAGGAACACCGAUGGCGAAGGCAAUCCCCUGGGCCUGCACUGACGCUCAUGCACGAAAAGCGUGGGGGAGCAAAACAGGAUUAGAUACCCUGGUAGUCCACGCCCUAAAACGAUGUCAACUGGUUGUUGGGUCUUCACUGACUCAGUAACG
rnacentral:rRNA from 1 species